UGUGGUUAAAAAGCUCGUAGUUGGAUCUCGGCGGACUGAGGGCGGUUUGCUUGCUAGUAUUACUGCCCUAUAGUCCGUAGUUUUGCCAGAGGUUUCGGGGUGCUCUUAAUCGAGUGUCCCGGGAUGCUGGCAGGUUUACUUUGAAAAAAUUAGAGUGCUCAAAGCAGGCUAUUACGCCUGAAUAUUCGUGCAUGGAAUAAUAGAAUAGGAAGUCGUUUCUAUUUUGUUGGUUUUCGGAAAUCGACUUAAUGAUUAAUAGGGACAGUCGGGGGCAUUUGUAUCCAAACGACAGAGGUGUAAUUCUUGGACCGUUUGAAGACAAACUACUGCGAAAGCAUUUGCCAAGAAUGUUUUCAUUAAUCAAGAACGAAAGUUAAAGGUUCGAAGGCGAUUAGAUACCGCCCUAGUUUUAACCAUAAACGAUGCCAGCUAGCGAUCUGCGGACGUUUUUUUUGUAGACUCCACAGGAAGCUUCCGGGAAACCAAAGCGUUUGGGUUCCAGGGGAAGUAUGGUUGCAAAGCUGAAACUUAAAGGAAUUGACGGAAGGGCACCACCAGGAGUGGAGCCUGUGGCUUAAUUUGACUCAACACGGGAAAUCUCACCAGGCCCGGACACUGGAAGGAUUGACAGAUUGAUAGCUCUUUCUUGAU
rnacentral:rRNA from 1 species